rnacentral:rRNA from 1 species
CCUACGGGGGGCUGCAGUGAGGAAUAUUGGUCAAUGGGCGCGAGCCUGAACCAGCCAAGUAGCGUGAAGGAUGACUGCCCUACGGGUUGUAAACUUCUUUUAUAAAGGAAUAAAGUGAGGCACGUGUGCCUUUUUGUAUGUACUUUAUGAAUAAGGCUCGGCUAAAUCCGUGCCAGCAGCCGCGGUAAUACGGAGGAUCCGAGCGUUAUCCGGAUUUAUGGGGUUUAAAGGGAGCGUAGAUGGGUUGUUAAGUCAGUUGUGAAAGUUUGCGGCUCAAACGUAAAAUUGCAAUUGAAACUGGCAGACUUGAGUACAGUAGAGGUAGGCGGAAUUCGUGGUGUAGCGGUGAAAUGCUUAGAUAUCACGAAGAACACCGAUUGCGAAGGCAGCUCACUAGACUGCAACUGACACUGAGGCUCGAAAGUGUGGGGAGCAAACAGGAUUAGAUACCCGAGUAGUC